rnacentral:rRNA from 1 species
AUUGAACGCUGGCGGCAUGCUUUACACAUGCAAGUCGAACGGUAACAGGGAGCUUGCUCCGCUGACGAGUGGCGAACGGGUGAGUAAUGCGUCGGAACGUGCCGAGUAGUGGGGGAUAACGCAUCGAAAGGUGUGCUAAUACCGCAUACGCACGGAGGUUGAGAGUGGGGCACCUUCGGGCCUUACCCUAUUCGAGAGGACGACGUCUGAUUAGCUAGUUGGUGAGGUAAAUGCGCACCAAGGCGACGAUCAGUAGCGGGUCUGAGUGGAUGAUCCGCCAUACUGGGACUGGGACAGGGCCCAGACUCCUACAGGAGUCAGCAGUGGGAAAUUUGGGACAAUGGGCGCAAGCCUGAUCCAGCCAUGCCGCGUGUCUGAAGAAGGCCUUCGGGUUGUAAAGGACUUUGGUCCGGGAGCAAAUGCUGGUGGCUAACAUCCACCGGAGCUGAGAGUACCGGAAGAAUAAGCACCGGCUAACUACGUGCCAGCCGCCGCCGUAAAAC